rnacentral:snoRNA from 1 species
UGGAAAUGAUGAUUUCUCGCUGAACUGAUGUGGUCCAAAAUCACACAUGAGCAAAAUCCUCAAGAUAGUCAAGUCCUGAUCCAG